rnacentral:rRNA from 1 species
UACGGGGGGGGCAAGCGUUGUUCGGAAUUACUGGGCGUAAAGGGCUUGUAGGUGGCCAACUAAGUCAGACGUGAAAUCCCUCGGCUUAACCGGGGAACUGCGUCUGAUACUGGAUGGCUUGAGUUCGGGAGAGGGAUGUGGAAUUCCAGGUGUAGCGGUGAAAUGCGUAGAUAUCUGGAGGAACACCGGUGGCGAAGGCGGCAUCCUGGACCGACACUGACGCUGAGGAGCGAAAGCCAGGGGAGCAAACGGG